rnacentral:tRNA from 2 species
GCCCGGGUGGCGGAAUCGGCAGACGCACAGGACUUAAAAUCCUGAGUUUCGUAAGGAGCGUGCGGGUUCAAGUCCCGCCCCGGGCA